CCGAUGGCGAAAGGCAGGUCUCUGGGCCACUACUGACGCUGAGAAGCGAAAGCAUGGGGACGAACAGGAUUAGAUACCCUGGUAGUCCAUGCGCGUAAACGUUGGGAACUAGGUUGGGUCUCAUUCCACGAGAUCCGUGCCGCAGCUAACGCAUUUAAGUUCCCCGCCUGGGGAGUACGGCCGCAAGGCUAAAACUCAAAGGAAUUGACGGGGGCCCGCACAAGCGGCGGAGCAUGCGGAUUAAUUCGAUGCAACGCGAAGAACCUUACCAAGGCUUGACAUGUGCCGGUAAAGUGCAGAGAUGUGCUCCCCGCAAGGUCGGUACACAGGUGGUGCAUGGUUGUCGUCAGCUCGUGUCGUGAGAUGUUGGGUUAAGUCCCGCAACGAGCGCAACCCUCGUUCUAUGUUGCCAGCACGUCGUGGUGGGGACUCAUAGGAGACUGCCGGGGUCAACUCGGAGGAAGGUGGGGAUGACGUCAAAUCAUCAUGCCCCUUAUGUCUUGGGCUUCACGCAUGCUACAAUGGCCAGUACAAAGGGCUGCGAUACCGCGAGGUGGAGCGAAUCCCAAAAAACUGGUCUCAGUUCGGAUUGGGGUCUGCAACUCGACCCCAUGAAGUCGGAGUCGCUAGUAAUCGCAGAUCAGCAACGCUGCGGUGAAUACGUUCCCGGGCCUUGUACACACCGCCCGUCAAGUCACGAAAGUCGGUAACACCCGAAGCCGGUGGCCCAACUCCUUUGGAGGGGGAGCCGUCGAAGGUGGGACUGGCGAUUGGGACUAAGUCGUAACAAGGUAGC
rnacentral:rRNA from 1 species